UCCCCCCCUCUCGUCCCACAGCCGCGACCCUCCCUCGAUCCACUCCUCUCCCCCAACCCUCUCGCUCCUCCUCCGUCUCAAUCUCUCGAUCCCCAACCACCCAGCUGCCGGCGCCGCCGUCCUCCGUCCUCUCCCCCAACCCCGGUCGCCGACAAGCCCUCCCCUCCCCUUCUCUCCCACGGUCGUGGUCGGAUCCGCGCUCGUCCCUUCCAGAUCGUAGCCGCCACCUCCUCCUUUCAAGAUCCGAUCCACUUUUCCACCUAGAAGUGGAGGCUGGAGCUCCAUCCCCAUGAUGGCCUCCUCUGCUCCCAGCGACCACGACCUCGGACCCCUUCUCCGCAUCCACAACCCACGCCGCCGUGACUCCCAAUCCCUCGCACGCAGCCGCCGCCGAUGCCUCCUGGACUGCCACCUCGAAGGGACGACGAUGGCGACUAGGACAUCUUCCUCCCCCAACGACGACGACGUUCUUCGCCACCGCCGUGGUCGGGCUACGGUGACCAGCAGAGGAACUCCUCCGGCAGUGGGGGAGUCCUCCCUUGCUUCCUUGUCCACCACGAAGCACACACAGGCAGGGGAGGAGCCGCGGCGUCCAACCUCCACCGCCGCCCGAAGCCGGCAAAUUAUCUGAUGCAGGCAGUUGAAGGAAGGGGCCAUGCCAUGGAGAGGCUGUAGGGCCAUGGACAUGCCGGAGAGGAGGACGUUCUUGGCCGAUGUAGAAGCUGCGGGAGAGGAGGGCUCUGACCUUGACGGAUGCCAUGCAAUGGAUGGUCGGCAAGGCAGUCGGUGGGACGGAGGCGAUGAACUCUGCCGCAGCCACGGCCGUCUGUGCUUCUGCCUUCGUGGUGGCCUUGGACUUGUGAUUGUGGUGUUGUGCUUUGACCAGUGGCAUGAUUUACACACUGGCAAUUUUAGGUUUAGGGAAAUAUGUAUUGUUGCUCCUGAUUGAACCAAUUAACCAGUAUCACUUGUCUAAGAUCUGAUCUAGAACUGAAUUGCUCCUCUGUUUUGCUGUGGGCGUAUGCUCGGUGGUCAAUGAUUGCGUGCUGUAGACAUAUUAAAACCAAAAAUUGGAGCAGUUUCAGUCAUGCAGAUUAGAAAUGAAUCCUGCUCUGCUUUGCUGUAGGUGUAUGCUCUUAUUGCUGAAUAGUUUGGUGGUAUUGUGAUGUCACAUUACACCUGGCAUAACGUGACAAAGAGCUCAAGAGUUACAACAAAGUAAUCUAAGUUCUUAGUCUGUGUUAUUUUAGUAUAAGUAAUCUUUUGUUCAGUCAAAAACUAAUGCACGUGCUACUACCAGUAGUGUUUGUGAUUUUUUUCCUCUACCAACUAUCAAUUAAUUCCCUGGUUACUACUAUGUAGGGGAUGUUACUGUUUUAAGUUUCUAUACUACUGUUUGUGCUGUUGCUGUUCUGUCGGUGUUAUGCAUAUAGGCAUGGGAGAUGUUAUCCUAGAAUUAUGCACUGCUUGAGCUCAUAUAUCUCCAUUUAACUACUGUGGUUUAUGUUUCUGGCUUGGUGAUAUAGGAAUCGGUGCUUGCUAUGUCUUUUGUAGUGGUCUGAUUACUUACUAGUAGAUACACAUGCACUGGCUAUUUAUAGUGCUUCAUUUGCUACCGCUCCUCCAGGCUCACUGUGCCGAGACAUCCGCGUCCCGACUCUCCCUCCUCCCUGACGGGCUCUCAUCCAAGCUGGAGAUAGCCGCGUCCCCAACGGCUGCUGCUGGAACCGACCCCUCCUUGUUGCUUGGACGUAUCCUGACACCUGCAUCGUCGACGGUGUCCGCAUCGACAGCUACCUCACCAGGUCCCUCAAUCUGCCUGUGGAUAGUACCGUUGCUUACAUUUUUCAUCUGCCCAUAGCGUACAAUCUUCAGCUGUACUGGAUUGUUGCAAAUUUGUGUUGGACGAGGGCAACUACCCUGUCAACGCCCCACUCAAGGAGUUCGUCGCCAGCAUCCAGUCCCAGGUCGCCAAGAUUGAGGACGGCAUGAAGCAACAAUGCAGGGGUGAUGGCAACACCUUUCUCCCUCAAAGGAUGGCAAGAUUGCAACCAACCAUGUCGGAGCUCGAGGUCUACAAAAUUUGAAGUUCGAAACCAUAUAGCUCUACUCAGCAAAGAGCUGUCUCUUCUGUUUGAUUGUAAUAGAAUGUAAAUAUUGUAAUAUUGUAAUAGUAGGCAUAUCUAGGUUGUAGUAA